rnacentral:rRNA from 1 species
UGGGGAAUAUUGCACAAUGGGGGGAACCCUGAUGCAGCAACGCCGCGUGAGUGAUGACGGUCUUCGGAUUGUAAAGCUCUGUCUUUGGGGACGAUAAUGACGGUACCCAAGGAGGAAGCCACGGCUAACUACGUGCCAGCAGCCGCGGUAAUACGUAGGUGGCGAGCGUUAUCCGGAAUUAUUGGGCGUAAAGGGAGCGUAGGCGGAUAAUUAAGUGGGAUGUGAAAUACUCAGGCUCAACCUGGGGGCUGCAUUCCAAACUGAUUAUCUAGAGUGCAGGAGAGGAGAGUGGAAUUCCUAGUGUAGCGGUGAAAUGCGUAGAGAUUAGGAAGAACACCAGUGGCGAAGGCGACUCUCUGGACUGUAACUGACGCUGAGGCUCGAAAGCGUGGGGAGCAAACAG